GAUGAACGCUGGCGGCGUGCCUAAUACAUGCAAGUCGAGCGAACUGAUUAGAAGCAUGCUUCUAUGACGUUAGCGGCGGACGGGUGAGUAACACGUGGGCAACCUGCCUGUAAGACUGGGAUAACUUCGGGAAACCGAAGCUAAUAACGGAUAGGAUCUUCUCCCUCAUGGGAGAUGAUUGAAAGAUGGUUUCGGCUAUCACUUACCGAUGGGCUCGCGGUGCAUUAGCUAGUUGGUGAGGUAACGGCUCACCAAGGCAACGAGGCAUAGCCGACCUGAGAGGGUGAUCGGCCACACUGGGACUGAGACACGGCCCAGACUCCUACGGGAGGCAGCAGUAGGGAAUCUUCCGCAAUGGACGAAAGUCUGACGGAGCAACGCCGCGUGAGUGAUGAAGGCUUUCGGGUCGUAAAACUCUGUUGUUAGGGAAGAACAAGUACGAGAGUAACUGCUCGUACCUUGACGGUACCUAACCAGAAAGCCACGGCUAACUACGUGCCAGCCGCCGCCGUAAGAC
rnacentral:rRNA from 1 species